UACGAAGGGGGCUAGCGUUGCUCGGAAUCACUGGGCGUAAAGGGUGCGUAGGCGGGUCUUUAAGUCAGGGGUGAAAUCCUGGAGCUCAACUCCAGAACUGCCUUUGAUACUGAAGAUCUUGAGUUCGGGAGAGGUGAGUGGAACUGCGAGUGUAGAGGUGAAAUUCGUAGAUAUUCGCAAGAACACCAGUGGCGAAGGCGGCUCACUGGCCCGAUACUGACGCUGAGGCACGAAAGCGUGGGGAGAAAACAGG
rnacentral:rRNA from 1 species